AUGCACAAUGCGGCCCCUGUGCUCCGCGGGGGAUUUGUCAGUACCUGCUGGUGGCCUGGCUUUCAUUACUAUUGUCAUGGUUAUUGCUACAGCCUCUCAGCCAUGGGACCAGAAGCUUAUCUGCAUGCACAGCCAGGCCCUCCCCGAUGGCUGAACCUCAGCCACCAGCACCCUGCUGCCCGCAGAUCCUUCCGGCUCUCACAGCUCGCUGGAACAAAUGAGUGGGAGCAACCUGGCUCAGCUACUUCAGCCCUUCUCCCUGCACUUGCCCAGGACCAAACCCUGACCCUGCACCUCUGGAAAGGACCAGGACAACCCCAGCUGCCUGGCUUGCAGGACACGGGGAGACUGGAGCAGGGAAGAUGCAGCUUCUCAACUGCCACAGUAUCCCCCAGGCAGCCCUGCAGAUAUGGGCCUUUUCUUGUCAGCCCUGCCCCAGCAAAAACACAGCAGAGCAAGGGUGAGUCCCAAGGGCUCUCUGCUCCUUUAGCCUCGGGAGAAGCAGCUGGAGUGGAAAGCUGGGAAUGCUGCAGAGAAGCAUUCAGAGUCAUGCACAUGGAGAUGGGAUACUCGGACACCGUGGCCGCCUGAGCAUGAGUUCCCUGCAUGGUCCCUUCUCAGUCAGCUUUCCUGACCUCGUGUUGCAGCAAAGCAAAAAAUAACCACAGCCUUGGUGAGAGGAAAUGCACGAGAAGAGUGGAAGGGAAGCGGUGGUUUUGGCAGAGCCAUUUGCUGGGAAAAGCGAGGAGGGAUGAGACGGGGAGGAUACGGCACUUCAUAACCCCUCUGUGCAGCGGUUUCAUCGCCUGCACUCCUCCAAGUCAUCUCCAAAUCCCCUGCGUCUCAGCACUAAAAAUAUCCCUGCCGCCCAGAGCUCUUUUACCCAGCAGAGGCUGUGUCAUAAGACCCUGCUAUUUACGGGGCUCUGAUUCAAUUCCUGCAGCCGCGGGAGGAUGAAAAAGCCGGGAGGGCAGCGCGGCGUGCGGGAAGGGACAGGCUCGGCGUGCAGACGUACGGCAGUUCGGCUCCCAGUCGCCCCACACCGCUGUUCGUGCCUUGCUCUGCUCGCUCUCUUCACCCUUAAGCCCUGCUGGUGCGGGGGCACCUGCCGCUCCGGGGGGCUCACGGACAGCCGCCCUCU
rnacentral:lncRNA from 1 species